GAGUCGAGAGCACAGACAGGAUUGAACGGACGGAUUAGCAGCAGCAGCAGCAGCAGCAGGAUCUUUUUUUACCUCGACCAAGAUAUUUCUUCAGUGUCACUGUUCUGCACAGCAAAAGUGCGCUGCUGUCCCUGGGAAGAAGCCUGAAACGUGGACACUCACCUUCAAUUAAAGGGGAUGAUCAGCUGUCAGGCUUGGGGGAUUGCCUUUUGCUGCUGCUGCUGAAGCAGAGGGGGGAAUGCACGGACGUGAGAAGAACCCCUUGAAAACCCCCCAUCUGCACGUCAUGGAACAUUUGCAGGAGAGGGACCACCCACUUUAAAGGCGUGCAACAGAGAGCAGACACAACAGUGAGCUGUGGCCUGUACUGAACUCACCAUCUCAGGUGACAAAUACACCUACAUGUACCGCAGAGAGAGAGAGAGAGAGAGAGCGAUAGGGAAGACGAAGAAAUGACGCGAAUCCGCGGGAGAGCAGAUACUCAGCAGCGCUCACUCGGCCUCCUGCUGAGAACUACACGUGUUUAUCUGCACAAAAACGACUCAUGUUGGCGUUUUCCUGGAUCGUGUGCGCGCUGCUUGGGGGGGGGAAGAGCAGCACAGCUGCGGUGCUGUUACAGAUGUGAGCAGCAGGGGGCGCCUGAGG